GAUGAACGCUGGCGGCGUGCCUAAUACAUGCAAGUCGAGCGCAUGGAUUAAGAGCUUGCUCUUAUGAAGUUAGCGGCGGACGGGUGAGUAACACGUGGGUAACCUGCCCAUAAGACUGGGAUAACUCCGGGAAACCGGGGCUAAUACCGGAUAACAUUUUGAACCGCAUGGUUCGAAAUUGAAAGGCGGCUUCGGCUGUCACUUAUGGAUGGACCCGCGUCGCACUAGCUAGUUGGUGAGGUAACGGCUCACCAAGGCAACGAUGCGUAGCCGACCGGAGAGGGUGAUCGGCCAAACUGGGACUGAGACACGGCCCAGACUCCUACGGGAGGCAGCAGUAGGGAAUCUUCCGCAAUGGACGAGAGUCUGACGGAGCAACGCCGCGUGAGUGAUGAAGGCUUUCGGGUCGUAAAACUCUGUUGUUAGGGAAGAACAAGUGCUAGUUGAAUAAGCUGGCACCUUGACGGUACCUAACCAGAAAGCCACGGCUAACUACGUGCCAGCCGCCGCGGUAAUAC
rnacentral:rRNA from 1 species